GCAACGCGAGCGCGGUCGUCGCCCGCGCCGAGCGCCGGCUCCGGAAACGCCGGGGAGUCCCUGAGUCCUCCCGGGAUUCUCAUCUCCAAUUAACCAGCCAAAAGCUGGAAGGAGAGAUAUGGCUUGAGCAGUGGCGCAUCUGUGUGAUAUCAUCCGUGUCCAGUGGGCUGAACUCAUUGACUGUCCUGCCUCAGCCUCCUGGGAGCUGGAAUUCCAGGCACGUGCCAUCAUGUUGCCAAAAUAGUCCCUAUUUUGGUCAAAGUCAUCUCAGCUGUAGAAGCUGCAUCCCUUGAAGUUCUCAUCCCCAUUUGAACAUGGUGACAUCGUGAAUGUCAGUACAAAUGGGGUUAUCUGUCACCCGAAGAGACAUCUACACUCGACUGGCAGUGCUGUCUGGAUCUCUUCCAGCUACCUGCUUGUUUUUUGCACGUCUGAUUCAUUCUACUUGUUGGAUGGGUUAAAGGGCAUCUGGAUCCAUGAUUUAAAUAAAGAUCACAAUGUUCUCUUAG